rnacentral:rRNA from 1 species
UGUAAGCGUAUACCAAAGUUGUUGCAGUUAAAACGCUCGUAGUCGGAAUUUGGCAGUUCCGGAUGUGUGCACGUCGUGUGCGCACUUCGCGGGGAUUGCUUUUGUGGUCUUGCGUAGGAUGAGGCACUUUUAUUAGUGAACGUCCUCACGCAACCACUUUUUACUGCGAGAAAAUCAGAGUGCUCAAAGCGGGCAUUUGCCGUGAAUGUAUUAGCAUGGAAUAAUAGAAUAGGACUUGGUUCUAUUUUGUUGGUUUGUUGGGACUGAGUAAUGAUUAAGAGGGACAGUUGGGGGCAUUUGUAUUUCGGUGCUAGAGGUGAAAUUCUUAGAUUACCGAAAGACAAACUGCUGCGAAAGCGUCUGCCAAGGAUGUUUUCAUUGA